CUGAUGAUGUUCAAGCAUAUGUGAAAGAAAAUUGUUUUGGAAUACCGGCAAUUACAAGCUCUCAUUCUGAUUGGAGUUUUUACUCGCGUGUUCGUUCAACUUUGCGUUAAUGAAGAUUAAGAAAAUUUAGUGCUUUGGAUUAUGUUUGUGUGGUAAAUUAUGAUUUGGAAUACCGGCAAUUACAAGCUCUCAUUCUGAUUGGAGUUUUUACUCGCGUGUUCGUUCAACUUUGCGUUAAUGAAGAUUAAGAAAAUUUAGUGCUUUGGAUUAUGUUUGUGUGGUAAAUUAUGGUUUUGUUAAAGGCUUAAUCGUUUUAUGUAUGACGGUUUGGAACUUUGGAUUAAGUUUCUUUUAAUUUUAUGAAUGGUUGUUUUUGGUGUUUCAUCUAUGUAUGUAUGGCCGUUAUGAUUAAUCGUAUAUUUUACUCUACUUUGCAAUUUUUAAGACAUGCCUUUUAUCGAUA
rnacentral:lncRNA from 1 species